UAGCCUGUGAUGAUAUUGCUUGAUCUUAUGUUGGAAUUACCGUCUGAAUUUUCCUUUGAUGUGAAGUUGCAAUCUGAGGUUUCUC